AAAGCGGAGGAAAAGAAACCAACAGGGAUUGCCCUAGUAACGGCGAGUGAAGCGGCAACAGCUCAAAUUUGAAAGCUGGCCUUCGGGUCCGCAUUGUAAUUUGUAGAGGAUGCUUUGGGUAAAACGCCAGUCUAAGUUCCUUGGAACAGGACGUCAUAGAGGGUGAGAAUCCCGUAUGUGACUGGAAAUGUUAACCUAUGUAAAGCUCCUUCGACGAGUCGAGUUGUUUGGGAAUGCAGCUCUAAAUGGGAGGUAAAUUUCUUCUAAAGCUAAAUAUUGGCGAGAGACCGAUAGCGCACAAGUAGAGUGAUCGAAAGAUGAAAAGCACUUUGGAAAGAGAGUUAAAAAGCACGUGAAAUUGUUGAAAGGGAAGCGCUUGCAAUCAGACUUGUUUAAACUGUUCGGCCGGUCUUCUGACCGGUUUACUCAGUUUGGACAGGCCAGCAUCAGUUUCGGCGGCCGGAUAAAGGCUCUGGGAAUGUGGCCUCCACUUCGGUGGAGGUGUUAUAGCCCAGUGUGUAAUACGGCCAGCCGGGACUGAGGUCCGCGCUUCGGCUAGGAUGCUGGCGUAAUGGUUGUAAGCGACCCGUCUUA
rnacentral:rRNA from 1 species